rnacentral:lncRNA from 1 species
AAAUUUAUACUGAGAAUAUAUUCAAUUCAAACUGGAGGUGGGUCAUGAAAAGUGACCGAAAGUGUUUUAAAAACUGAUGGUGUAUUACCUGCCAUUGUAAUUGCUUAGUGCUUGGCUAAUUUCCAAGUUAUAGCUUAGAGUAUGCAUUAUACUUUAGGAGAACAAGCUUAAUGUAAAGAAGUAAUGGUGAUGAAUGGACGAUACUGUUGGUUUAUGGGCCUUUGUACUUGCUUCAGUUAAAUAGUUGCAAGCAUCAAAUAUUACUUCACUAAAUGCAAAGAAAAGCAUUUAUGCAUACCUGCUUUGCUGUUUUUGAGCAGUGUGCCUUGUAGGGUGAACCACGUUGGUAAUAACUGAAUGCCAGAUCUUAAACUCAUUAGAAAAAUAACAAAUUAGUUUCUGACAUGUGCUUUUAAUUGGAAUAAUGGAUUAUAAAUAAUAGUUCAUGACCUCUUUACCAACACCCUCCCCACUAAUAAAAUCAAAUUUGGAAGAGUGUGUACUUUUAGUUGGGG